rnacentral:rRNA from 1 species
AACCUCCGCAAUGCGAGAAAUCGCGACGGGGGGACCCCAAGUGCCACUCUUAACGGGGUGGCUUUUCUUGAGUGUAAAAAGCUUUUGGAAUAAGGGCUGGGCAAGACCGGUGCCAGCCGCCGCGGUAACACCGGCAGCUCUAGUGGUAGCCAUUUUUAUUGGGCCUAAAGCGUUCGUAGCCGGUUUGAUAAGUCUCUGGUGAAAUCCUGUAGCUUAACUGUGGGAAUUGCUGGAGAUACUAUUAGACUUGAGGUCGGGAGAGGUUAGCGGUACUCCCAGGGUAGGGGUGAAAUCCUGUAAUCCUGGGAGGACCACCUGUGGCGAAGGCGGCUAACUGGAACGAACCUGACGGUGAGGGACGAAAGCCAGGGGCGCGAACCGGAUUAGAUACCCGGGUAGUCCUGGCCGUAAACGAUGUGGACUUGGUGUUGGGAUGGCUUCGAGCUGUUUCAGUGCCGAAGGGAAGCUGUUAAGUCCACCGCCUGGGAAGUACGGUCGCAAGACUGAAACUUAAAGGAAGU